rnacentral:rRNA from 1 species
AGCAUGCCGCGGUGAAUACGUUCCCGGGCCUUGUACACACCGCCCGUCACACCAUGAGAGUCGGGAACACCCGAAGUCGGUAGUCUAACCUCGUGAGGACGCCGCCGAAGGUGGGCUUGAUAAUUGGGGUGAAGUCGUAACAAGGUACC